rnacentral:rRNA from 1 species
UACAGAGGGGGCAAGCGUUGUUCGGAAUUACUGGGCGUAAAGGGCGCGUAGGCGGCCUUCUAAGUCGAACGUGAAAUCCCCGGGCUCAACCCGGGAACUGCGUCCGAUACUGGAAGGCUUGAAUCCGGGAGAGGGAUGUGGAAUUCCAGGUGUAGCGGUGAAAUGCGUAGAUAUCAGGAGGAACACCAAUGGCGAAGGCAGCUCGCUGGGACGUGACUGACGCUGAGACGCGAAAGCGUGGGGAGCAAACAGG